ACUGUGAAAAGAAAAAAAGUAGAUAAUAAGAACUUCAUGCUCCAGUGGGAUUUAACAUCAAACAACGGCUGAACACUAAGAGAGGAAAAAACGCUGCCUUCUUCCAAGCUGAACAAACAGUUCUGUCUCUGCUCUGCAGCUGAAGAGGACCAUUAAGAUUGUUUUAAUUAAGCUCUGUCACAAAGAGGGCUACUUGGGGCCUUUAUUCUACAGAUUAAGGUUUGAGAUUUCACACGCAUGGGCAGACUUGGUCUUCACAACUGGAGUUCAAAGCUAUAAAAGCCUACUUCUACGGAUCUCCUCCAGGACUGUGUGCUAUGACUUUUCUCAGCCAAAAUAUGGCUUGUACCCAAGUCAAGAGUAAAGAAAGAAAGAACAGUAAGCAUGCCAGGAUGCUAAGUCUAUCUUUGGUUGUCAGAAUGACCCACUGGGACUACUGUCACCUAGAUGGGAAAUGUAAAGCCCUUGCCUCACACCAAUGAGCUUAUCUCAGCUAAUCCAUCAAGUGUGUUCCAAAAGCUAUAAAGUCAUUCAUGCAUACUACAAGCCAAAGCAGACACAUGUAAAAGAGAAUGGCAGAAAAUCCUAGCAGAGUACCCACUACCACGUUGCCAAAUUAAGGAGAUCUCAAGCUAGAUCUGCUGUAAAAGCUAGGAAUUGUAAAACCAGCAAAUUCAGAGAUAAAGAAAUCCCUCUUGAAUAGAGUUAAUGUAGGCAUAAACAGACAACUAGAUAUAAGUUAGGACAGCCCUGAGUCAGAUAGCAAGCCACACCAACAAGGGUACAGACCCAAAAAGUGCAUGCUGCCACCCUACCCUUAUUUUACACACUGUUUCUCCAAGCAAGGACUGAAGAAUCCAGACUUUCUGUUUGCCUAACAGAAAACGGUAUCUUACAAAAUGCCUGACCAUUUGAGGCACUAAUUACAAAUAACUUUACAACUGACAGAAGCUGAAGAUACUCCAGACUGCCAUACACAAUGACUUCUCCUGUACCUGUGCAUAUAUUACGCACAGAAAGAAUGAGAGCAGCAUUCAGGAACAAAUACACAGUUUUGAAAUGGAGACGUAUCUAUUAAAAACUGGAAAGAUUCCACAACGUUCUAGAUAGCUUCUGCUUCAAAUCAAUUAGUCAUAGCUUCUUUAGUUUUCAGUGAAGUUAAUAACCUAAAUUUCACAAGAUGCCUUUAGAAUACUGUCAUAGACUAGCAGAAAGUAAAUAUCAACUGAACUUGUUAAUAGGAACUUACAGUUUCACUGCAAAUAACUGUAUAUUGGCACCAGAAAUGUAUCAUAUUUGAAAAGAAAAAAAAAGCUCAAGACAUUAAGUAUCUCGGGACAAAUGAAAAAGAAGAAAAACAAGUUUUUCAUCUCUUUAAAAAAGGGUACACUAAGUAUUUAGAUAUUAAAAAUACUGCCUACGGACCUAAAUAACACGAGUUUCUUUUUAAGCCUUAUAGAGAUUAAUGCAUCUCAUUAACUGCUCUGCUUGAAACCAUGACAAAGAUUUACAGCAUAAUAAAGAGACAGUGUAUUAGAUGAUAAACAAAGUAGUAAUUUUUGUAUAUCUGAUAAAUUCAGCCUGCAAAACUAAAUAAAUUCCGUAACUUAUUCUACCCACUCCAUGAAUCUGUUAUCUCAAUUCGGCUAGCAGUGAGAGUAGGCGUAAGAAAAACUAUAAAUUUUAGAGGUUAAACUGCAGCAUUCUCUGUAAGAGCUAACUAUAAAACUCUGAUCAGACUCUCACAGAACUAACACUUCUGAUGAGGCAAAUACCCUUUUCACAAAGUUUACACUACACUUCGAAAGUGGAGAUCAGACUGUUGUAUUUCUCUGCUAGAAUUCUCCCUCUGCAUACUUGAUUCUUCCCUCCUUAAAACUAGGCUACAGCAGCGUUCCUAGACAUGUGCUUAGGAUUGUAAAAUGAAUGCCAUAAAUGUGAAAGGUAAAAAGAAAUCAUACCUAUCACACUCUAAGCAGCUUGAAAGCUCUGUGCUUAAAAGGAUACUGUGAUUUGGAACGCAUGUGGUUGUCCUUUGCUCUGAAUUUCUGAUCUCUAAGUUUAUCAUAUGCCACAUUACAGUACACUUCGCCGAUUUAAGCUUCAAGUCAUUUCAUCAUUGAUGUAAAUAAGCCAAGGCAAACAAUUAAAUAUUACAUUAGCUUUUAAUUGACUGUAGCUCAUUGAACGAGGUAUCUCAAAAGCAUUGUCCAGCACUGAGAAUUCCUCCUAUGUCUGCUUUUCAAUUGUUUUUACAAAAACCCACUUCUGUUUAUUUUCCCCCCUUAUAAAUUCUUCUAGAUCAAUAGUGCAAACAGCAACCUCAUUUUCACUGAGAUUCCAGUGACCAUAGUUAAAAUAUUCAGUUAGUAUUAAUGCUACAAGCAAGUUCUUCCUUCCAUAAGCAUUUCUAGCAUUACCUUCCUAACAGCAGAAAUCCCCAACACAUCAUGAUUUAUGCAACUGGGGUGAGUUCUCAUCAAAUCCAAACUGAGUUUUGCCCUUGGUAGGAGGUUCACAAUUUUAAAUUUUUAGAUUUCAUAACACAAAUUUUAAUUUUCACAACUCUAUGAUUCUGCAGUCCUUCUACAUAUCCAAUAUUAGUAACACUGUUUUAUCAAAUAAAGGAAGAAUGACAAUGAGGAAAGAUGAUAAAGGAUUUGUUAAAGGUUUGAUAGCUAUAGCCUUGCUUAUAUCAAACAGAAUGUUACUCAGAAAAAUAAUAUUUGUAUCAGGUGAUCUACUUAAGAAACAUGAUACUGCUUGGCAAAGCUGCUAACGGCAGAAUUUGGCCAUUGUUAAAGCUUCCAAGUAAAGCCUAACAGUGAGACUUGAAUACAUCAGAAGAAUUUCAGAGAGGCUAGAAGCACAGUGUUACUCCAAAUCCAUCCACCUCUGAUCUAUAUAGGGUCUUCAUACAGCACCUCAUAGAUACUCCUGGUGGUGGGAUGAAGAGUACAGCAGCCUGUGCACGCUGAAACUGUGAAACUGCUGCUCCCAAUCUUAAGGUACUUCUGAGCCUGCUCAGAAGUCAAAUCAUGCAUUCCAGAGAGAGGUCCGACAGGCUUCUAGGUGGGCUUAGUGGAUUUUAUCUCAGAAUAUCACUAGCAUAGUCCACAAGAAGCGAAUGCUUUGCAUAAGCAAAAAACAAUUUUAUUCUAAUUCUCUCAGAUAUGCUACAGUUACUUUGUGUUCUUGAGUAAUAGCAGAAAAAGGUGCAACAACAACAAUCCCUCCUCCACUGCCCUCUGACGCCCUAACAAUGGACAGACGCUACAGCUGGGUAAAUUCAAUCAAAUACCAGGGACAUAUUUUCAAUAAUCACCAUGAUCAAGUGCUGAUACAACAACAGAAGACAAACAUCUUUUCCUCUAUUUAUUGACCUUUACAUGUCAAGACAGCAGGCCCUUCUUGUUUGUGUGCUUUGCUAUAUUCAGAAUGGCUGUUAAGCUCAGUAUUAGCAAAACUGGAUUGUAUUUUUAGUCUGCUUAACUCUUUAAGUCAGACUAGAUGAUCCACUGUUUUGCAACCACAAACUAUGAGAAAAAUGCACUUCUUGAUGUACUGAAUAUACAUUUCAAAAUGAGUUCUCCCCUCUUAAAAAAAUCUUUCAGUAGGAGAUACUUUAAGUAAAUAACUUGUAAAAAGAAAUUUCAAUUACUAAAGCUGUAAGUAUUGUUUGAUAAAGACUUUUACACCAUGCAUUUCCCCACUCUUCAAAAUUUCAGACUUGAAAAAUAUGCUGGAAUACCUUUCUAAAAGCACAUUUGAACUCUGAUAACAUAAACGUUAGAGCUACGUUUCAUUGAGUGUUUCAUUUUAAAUGACUUAUUUAAGUUGCUUUUAGCUUUCACUUUCAGAAAUACAUUAUGUAAGAAGACAAUACGGAAAAGAAUCAAAAAAUAAGAGAUUUUAUGAAAGCUUCCUAUAAAACAGGAACAGGAUACUUAGCCUUCCAUAGUGUAAAGGGCAGACAAAGACAAUGCAAAAUAUGUAUGUGAUCAUACAAAAAAUUUAAAUACCAAUAAAUAUAUAUUCUUCUAUAAUUCUGUAUUUCUACAUUAAUCCAAACCCAAAAGUAAAAAAAAAAAAAAACAAAACAAACAAAAAAACCACCCAACAUUAUUGAUCAGACUGAACUGUUUUCUUGCUCCCCACAAAUAUUCAAGCCCCAUCAGUGUUAAAAUAAAUUUCUGGUGGGAACUUCUCAGAAUACUUUUCCUUUUCCUUCUUUUUUUUUUUUUUUUUUUUUUUUUUUUUUUUUUUUUUUUUUUUUUUUUUUUUUGUCCAGUAUCAAAGAGACCUGCAUUCCAAGCACACUAAUCACUGGGUUCAGGCUGUGCUAUCAAUAUACUUGUGGAAAAACCUCUAAACAUAUGGGCUGAAAAGAUAGGACAGUUAGGAACCAGGCAUGUGUAGCAGCAGCUGUCUUACUUGGCAUAGCUUAUAUCAACUUUUCUGGCACAAAUUCCACAACCACAGACUUCUAAUGGCCACCAGUAUCAAUCAACAUGCUUGGACAAAUUCUGAACAUAGAAGUUUCACAUUUCAAUAAGUUUCACAUUUUAACAACUAUUUUAAGUCAAUAAGGCUGAUCUAAUGCACAGGAACAUGUUCACCGCGAGCUCAGUUGCAUGGCAGCUUGCCUUUUUUGCUGCCAGCUAAUAUACCAGGAAAAGAACAGUGGAAACUAAAGCCACUUUAAGGACAGUACACAUUUGGUUGUCCAGGGAGCAUGCCAGCUACAGUAUCAUGUUUAAUUCUUAAACACUAAUGACUGAUUCAUGGCAACAACCCCAAAGGGAAAUACUCACCUGCUAUUUUAGCUAUACGUGAUGCAUAUUUUUAGGGGCUUUUUUUUUUUAAACACUAUCUUCAGGAAUUCUGUUUUGCAACUCUAUGCUAUUAAUAAAUCGGAACAUUUCAAACUGAAAAUUUAUUCCCACUCCCCAGAUUUUUUGGAAGAGAAGAGUGGUGACAUGCUUCACUCGAGGCAAUGAUAGGCACAGAAUUGUGUGAAGAAUAAAGCUGUAAACUCCUUGAUCCAAUGACACUAUCAGUAUGGCUGAUAGUCAGUAACACUGAUGUUGCAUCUGAGGCUGGUGUUCUGUUCUCCAGUAAGAAAAAUUAUAUUGGUUUGAAAAUAUUCUCCAAAUCCUGUUGUGUACUUCAUUCAUGACCAGAUUUUCAAUAGCUCUAUUUUCAAUACUACUACCUGAGUACUACCCGUCAUCUCCACAGCAUGGUUUGUAAUAUCCCCCUUUUAUAAAGGGGAUAAAAAUUAUUUUUGGUGGAUUACCAGAGAAACAACAAAUGAUAUCGAGCACUGAGCUUAAUAUCUGGACACUUAAUACUUGGCUGCAUUAUUAGUAUAGUACUGAAAUCUAUAGUUCUUCAUAAACAAUGCUUAUAACAGUAGGGGGAAAAAAAAAACCCACCACAAGCACUCUAAUCUUAGGUAUGAAAUUAAUUUAAAUAGUUUUCAUUUUCAAUCUAAACACCAGGAGUUUCUAAAAACAGUGCAGAUACCAGCCAAGGGAGGUCUGAGUACCUUAACCACCUUGAAGGCUAUGAGACCACUAAUCAAGAAAAUGAAAGCAUAUGUGCCCCCACAGAUAUACCUUUGCUAAGUCUUUUAUAUCACUUAUAAGUGAUCUCAGUCAGAUGACAAAACGUAUUUAAGAAGGGUAAGAAAGAAAGUCUAGAGCUUUCUUGGUUGCAACCAUGUUCUAACAAGGUAAAAAAAACAUCAGCGGCUUUUUUCUAGUGCAGUUUGAAAACAGGUGAAAGAGCAAGUUAAUGAAAUUUAAUGCACCUAUUGAACAGAUGGAUAAAAACUAAAGCAGCAACAAAGGUGGAAUGUUUCCAUCACACUGUGUAUCAGAGAUUAAUAUUCCGUCUGUUAUUAGGACAGAGUUACAUAGUCAGACUCUAGCCUAAGUAAGACGGACUGAAACACUGCAGAAAAGCUUACUUCCUAAAAUGGAAAUUUCUUCACUACAGAGCACCCCUGCUACUGUUGUGACAAUUAUCUGUUAAUGUUAAAGCUGUGUAGUUGUCUUCCAAAAUGAACUCAUUCUGUGAAACUCAUGCUGGUGUGAAACACACAAGCUCAGGAGCAUUUCAUCUGUAAAGACAACAGACUAAAACAAUCAGGCAUUUGCUGGUGUUUAGAAAGACCCAAUACCUGAAAAGGUAUGGAAUAAUAAUAGUUAAUUAGGGAAAUCAAGGAAACAUCCUAGCAAUUCCAGACAGAAAAAACUUCAGGAGGAUUUUAUUAGACACACACACAGGUGUACAUUUUUUUUUCUUUACACCAACCUUGUUUUUUCUUGCCCAUUUCAAAGCAAAUUUUGGUAUAGCUGGAGGUUGGAAUGGAAGGUCUUUUUUCCAGAUGAUUCUGCACAACAGAUGAUCUGGAAUUCCUACCCCAAUCUGUAAACUAUAGAUAGCCCUGUAAUAAUGUUCCUAAUUGUGCUGCAUCUUUUGAAAGCAGCCUGUUGCCUUAUUCACUCUCAACUCCUUAAGCAGAAGUAAUGGAAAAAAAAUCUAACAAAAUGCUAACAUCUUUCUGCCAAAAGGAUGAGUGAUUUUCUACAUAAGCUCUGGUUGGUCUUACCAUUUAGAAAGGUAUUAUCACUUUGGCUUGUCUGGAUUUGAGACUAACAAAGUAUGCUAUACAGAAAAGAUUUAUCUUUCUAUCCCAAAUAAAUGCUUUUAAGUUUUUUCAGUAUCUCAGCAGUGGUAACUGAAUACUGAAUUGAAGAAAAAAAAAAUCUCUAAUUGGAUUAGAAAAAAAGAUAUCAGAUAACAGAAAUACAUCUUUCUUAUUUUAACCAACAGCUGCUGUUCAUCCUUCCUUGAUAAUUGAUUUAGUACUCCUUAAGUAAAUGACCUGAAAGUAUUGCUCUUCAGCAAAAACUGUAAAGGAAAGGUGCAGUACUGACACAUUUUAUCAGCAUUAAGAAAUGAGACAACUCUCAGGAAGAGUAAAUGCAUUCAGGCUGCUGGGCUGGGCAUUUGUGACCGACUAUGCUUUCUGUCAAAAGGAAUAGCAAGUUUUAGUCCCAGUUCCCACAUCCCAUUCCUAAAAUUUCUCUUAACCUUGUACUCAUAAGCCCUCUUCAUGAAAGUCCAAGCUUACAUCGUUAUCAGAAGAAAUUACAGAGAAAUUACUGUAUUUCUCCUCUUCUGCUCCAUUGUCCAUGCAGAAAAGGAUCCUAAGUAAAAUCAGUUAUGAUCCUAAGUCAAAUUCAUUAAUCACUGAUAGGCUAUGCUCAUCUCACUAAUAUUACAUUCACUGCAGAAUCUUAUGAGUAGAUAAGAGCAGGAUAAGAAAAGCUGAAGAAACAAGCAGAUAGACGUAUGCUUUAUUAAUGGUUGUUCUCCUAUUCAGCUGGUAUUUGCUUUGUUAGGUUAGUUUUACAGAAGCUUUUGCAGAAUUACUGUAUCACAGAUACUUACGUUUAAUGCUGCUCAGACUACUUCUGGGCACUGAACAGUCUACAGCUGCUAAAAAUAGGAAAAAAAAAUAGAUGCAAUUCAGUAUUAGUGUUUGUCAUGGCUAGAAAAAAAAAGCAAUAAAACAGGACAUACGCUAACUUAAUUAGAAUAAAGCAUAUUUUUCACUAUUUUAAAAUACAUUAAGAAAUGGAGAAGUGAUUGGAAAAUUAGUAUAACCACACCCACAACCCUGUUUCUGAAAAUAGCUUGAAAGAAAGUACACAAUGUUUUGGGAGAUAUUCAGAAAUCUUUUAUGGCAUAACUCAUUAUUGCAAAAUUCUCUGCACUGAAUUUAAACACUCAGUACAUUCUGCCAAGCCCUAGCAUUGAUAUCUCUUGGGCUUAAAUCCCCACAAGUUUAUGGAAUGGAAAAAAACAAAAAAAACAAAAAACAGUAUUAACAGCUAUCUACAGACAUUUCUUAGCCCUGUGCAUGAUAUUAACUUGAACAGCAAUUCACACUCCUUCAAAAUAAUAAUUUUAGCUAUAAUAGAUUGUUUUCCGUUGUAGCAUUAUCAAUGGGAUACUGCCUGCUCACACAGGAAUAACUACAUAUUUCUAAAUCUGAAAAAAAAUUUGGUCAGUAUCUCCACGUUAUUAAAAAACAUACAAACAAGUUCAACAGGCUCUUAUGUUCCAGAUUUCACAUUUGCCUUUUGACAAAUGUCAACUACUUCUACAAUUAAAAUCUGUGCAGAUAUUCAUAUACAUUUUUAGUGCUCAACAGUAGAGAUUAGUAACACAAUGUUCUCAUUUGCAAAUCCAACACAAUAUGCAAAGUCCUUAAAACUUGCUAAUGCAACCCAUUGCAACAUGAACAAAAGAUAAAGAUCAUUCUUUGGAAAAAGAAAAGUCAGUGGUCUUAGUUUAACUGAAAAUGUUCUGUAAUAAUUUCUAAAAUAAAUUUGGAAUGUUUGCUCUUGAGGUUAUUUCCAUAUGUUUAUCUCAAUAUCCUAUUUUAUUAGAGCACUACUGCUGAAUGAAGAAAAUACAGCACAAAGUAUCCUUAAAUCAAGUUGUAACUUUGGUAGCACUCAAGAGAAAAGGUUUUCAUAGAAAACUUUCAAUCCUAAUAGCACGCAAGUAUUACUACAUAAAAGCUGUAUCUUCUUGCUAACAUCACUCCAAGCAUGAAACAGGAAAAAAAUUAGGCUUCUGACAACCCAAUUCAUUCCCUUUUGAUAUGAGCCUAUUCUGAAAAGUGAGCUAAAUCUGGAAGUGGAAAUAUUUUAUAUAUGCAAUUUUUACCUUUGGCUGAAAGAAUUCUGUUAUAAUGAAACAUCAAGUGAUCUCUGAUCAGGUACUGCUUAGUCAGACUUCGGGAGGAGUCAAUGCAGAAAGCUAUUAAGAUUAAAAUUAACAUUAUAAAUGCAGGUAAAAGAAUACUCAAAUUUUGAAGUUAUUAACUGCAAUUCAAAUCUAAAAGCCAGUGUGUCCAAUUAUAGCUGGACAGAUGACCAGUAGAAAAUAAAAGCCAAAAGAACAUGAAGGUGGUUUUGCUCUUAACUUUUAUCCCGUAUCAAAUACUGAGAUGAAACUCUGCAUUCCUAGGAGCCAGUUCCAACAUGGUGCUUCUGAAAGACUUCCACUUAAGCUUUCAUGGAAUCAUAGAAUGGGUUGGGGUUCGAAGGGACCUUAAAGAUCAUCUAGUUCCAGUUCCUGUGCAAUGGACAGGGUUGCCAGCCACUAAAUUAGACACUAAAUCAGGCUGCCCAGGCAUCCAUCAAGCGUGGCCUUGACACCUUCAGAGAAGAAGCAUCCACAACUUCUCUGAGCAGUAGGUCAUUUUUUCCUGCUCCCACUGCAGCACCAGUUUACAUCUAGCAAUGUUUAUGGAACACUUAGCGUUUGCAGAAGGCAGAAGCUACAAACUCAAAAUUACGGCAUGCUUCUCUGUUCAGUGGAAGUCAGUUUGCCUAACCUGCCAGUAUAACAUGAAACAAUCUUCGUUGUUUUUUCCCCCCCCAGUGAGCCAUCAGCUCGAUAAAUAGUUACUGACGUAGCUGAAGUUGAAAAAUGUCAGCAUGGAAAUUUCCUUUUUAACCAUUCUAUGCUCUUUCAAAAAAAGAGUCUGUGGUGGCACAGAAUCAUAUCCUAUCCCAUCCCAGCAACUGCAUGCAAAGGAACAGGUUUAACUUUAACAGUUCCUCCAAGUAGUAAUUCUACAUAUUCCAGCUAAUGCAGAUAUGUUGCUAAUUAUUUCUAGCUAGCAUAACAGUCCAGGCAAAAUAUUUUCAAUAAUGUAUAGUAAUUGUGAGUACUAUUAAAUUUCACCAAUAGAGCUUAAUGCAAAGGUUCAUGGAAUCACAGAAUAUCCUGAGUUGGAAGGGAUCCAUACGGAUCAUCAAGUCCAACUUCUGGAUCACGAACGCAAUUAAUUCACAUAGAGAAACCCGGCCACCCUUUUAAUGAAAGCAAGUGUGUUACUUACCAUUACUUUUAGUACUUAGCUGUCCUUUAAAUGGACUUGCUGGACCACAUCUGGGAAUGACCACAGCUGGGUAUUCAUUCACUUUAACAAAAUGUCAAACAGUUAGAAAGGAGAAAAUGCAUAUUCUGACAGACAAGCAAAAUAACUAAAAAUAUAUUUCCCCAAAGAAUUAUUCGGUUAUUGCAGCACACUUUUUUCCCAGAUGAAAAGUCUUCAUUACACUAAAAUAAAACAGCAUAAUUAAGUAAUUUAAUCAAGAUGCCAAAAUAUGAUUGUAAAACUUCUACUGGUUCAGGGGCUUAAGCAGCAGAAGAGACCCUUAGAUCACUUCAACCUGAACUUUUACAUUGAGCAUUAGACUGCACAGAGAUGCAGCCAAAGCUCUGAAUCUAUGAUAAACUCUAAUUUAAGUGUUUAUUGAUUGAAUUUUAUCAUUACAUCAAACAACUAACGUGAAAAAUAUUCUGUAUGGAGAUAAGAAUUGUGUUUAGUAUAAUACUCAUGAGUUUAAUAGAUUUAAAGAAACUAAUUACAAUUGUGUGACGAACCACCCUACUAAUGAGAACACACUCUUUCAAAUAUCUAUUACUGUUAAUGCAAGAAGAAUUUGGUUUGCCAUUCCAUCUUCUGGUAAUUUAUAGACUGGAAACCCUCUAAACAAGUGUAGAUACCGACAAAACAUAAGCAUCCAAUUGCUCUGAAAUAUGAAAACAUGAACUAAAAUCUCUGCAUCUUCUCCUUGGGAGGGGGAAAUAAAAUUAGCAAAGUCAGGCUCACAACCACUGCCUGUAAGUGGUGGUCACUGCCUAUGAUUUAAAAAAAACCAAAAACAUCCAAUUUAAUUUAGAAUUUGUAGCAUUUUUAGAACAAAUUUUAACAAGAGGUAGGUACACUUGUUUCAAAUACUAGUGCAUACAAAGCAUUCUUUCAUGGUUUCCAAGACCCCGCUCAGAGUACAAGUUAAAACAAAUGAGAGGAGUGGGAAUCUUUCUGACCUGGCCUUCAGCUGGAUCAGCAGAGGCUGAUCUGUACAGAAUGACUGCACGGUGCAAGAAAUAACGCUGAAGGACACAGCCAGACUUAAGCCACAUUUUUAAGAGCCCCUUAAUUCCACUUUUUAUGGCUUUUUGCCCUCUUUUUACUUCUGCCCAGCACCUUGCUUUCCAUCUUCUCCAUUCUCCUUUCCUGAUGUUAUAUGACAGUUAUGAGUAUAUAACAGUACUGUUACAGCUAUGAAUGUCACUACUGUGUUUCAUAGCUCAACUAUAAGUGUAUGAGCAUGCUGCAUAAGAUGCUGUCCAACUAUUACUUGGCAGAGAUCACAUCAAAAUAAAUUAUUCUCUUAAUAAUGUUUUAAUAUCAUUUCCUCAAAGACAUUAUAAAGAGACAUGUUGUACUAAAUUUCAAGUGACUAGGAUUAGUUUAGGAAGCAAAACCAAGUAUCCUGAAAAAAUAAAUAAAAUGAAAAUUAUUAGCGUAUGUGGAAAUUGACCUAAUAUUUUCUUGGGACCUUGUUGUGUCUGUAUCAACAUGCUCAAUUCCCACAGUUGCAAAGCACAACUCAUCUCAGUUUUGAACUAACAUGAGGGUUCCACACUCGGAACAGCCUGCCUUUACACAGCUCCAGCUCGGACAUGGUGUCUUCAGGCACAGCGCUCCCACCCCUUCUGAUGGGAGGUGCCAGAAAGGGAGAACAAAAGAAAAAGUCCUACCACAGAUUUUUUCAGCGCUAGCCUGAAACUGUUCUUAAGAUAUGACAUCUUCUUUAAAGCCAAACGGAAACAUUCAUGCUCUUCUGCACCCAUUUCAACUGGCUCUUUUAAAAAUCCCCUUGGGGUACAAUUCCCCCUAGUCUCUAUUUAUGAUUUAAACAUACAUGGGCAAACAAGACUAUUAAGGUAUUAAAAUUCCAAGCAUAUAGCAAGAAUUCAUUAGAUUUAGAAUGACUGCCUCUGUAAUGAUUGCAAACCCUGGUCAAAUGGCUUGCUCACUUAUUUAAGUACUAUGUUUCUCUAGCAGAGUAACACCAAAGUGGUACUCGCAGCCUGGCUGCAUAACUGUCCUGAAAAUCAUGACUUCCUGAAGUUACAGUGCUCAUAUUUUUAAAGAAUGAAAGUCCUUCAAAAGACUUGAGUGUUAGAUUAUAACAUUUUGGUAAAUAAAAUUCUAUCCUAAUGAUUAAAAAAAGUGUGUCAGCUGUAAGUCAGAAACGUAAUCUUAGCAGGCAUAUGAAAACCUAAAGGUUUUCACUCACAGUUGCUCAAAAUAACCGAGAAUUUCCUGUAUUUUCCAUAUUUCAGUGCCAAGUUAUAAUUCUAGAAGACACGUGAUACCAUUAGAUUAGUUAGAGGUGGCCUUAUAACCGUUAAUUUCUAUGUAUAAGAAAUGUAGAGAGGUAAGCAAUGGCAUCUUAAAAAUGCAUGGGGACAUUCUCAUAACUGGAGAUGGUUCAUUUCAGAUAAGCUGAAUGUCUCUGCCCUGAGUUAAAGAGAAUCAGAUCCACACAGAAACUUGUUGCUUGCUCUGUCUGCAUGUGGAAGUAACUGUUCAGCACUUGAGGAAAAUGCGAUGCUGAAAUGCUCACUUACUGUGCAUCACCAGCAGAUGGCCACACGGAUAAGCUGUAUGGAAAGAACUAUCGCAUCGGCUCCUUCUGCCCUGUGCAAUUCAUGUGUAUCAGAGUCGGGGGGAAAAAAAAUAAAAAAUUCUCUCCUAUCCCAA